rnacentral:lncRNA from 1 species
UGAUCCAGUGAACACUCUCCUGCCUUCCACUUCUUGAACCUCAAACACACAGUCUUUCCAUACGUCCAGGCAGGGGCAGGUAUGCAGCCUUCCUGGGUUAAUUUGUACAACACCAAAUUUAAAUUAUUUGUCAAUGUUUAAUCAGGUAAAAGCCAUUCAUUUUAGCAGAGCCCAGCUUUGGAAAAACUCUUUUUGACUACUACAGGGCUUCUUUGGACAUUAACAUAAACAGAGAGAAAACAAAUAAGAAGAAAAAAGAGAAAAAAAAGUUAAGUCAAUUCAAUCGCACUUUGUUAAUGUUCUCGGUAAAUUAAGUUUUGAAAAAUUCCAGUUCUGAAGCAAGUCCAGCUUGGGCAGUGCAGACCAAAGAAAUUCAGCCAAAAGUUUAUCAAGUGCAAUUUUCUUUUAUUUUAAAAGCAUGUUUGCAGACUCUUUCCCUGAGGUUUUUUAUUUUUUAUUUUAUUUUUUGGAAUCAGAGCUAAGCUAUUAUGCAAUUGAUACCUGAGAAGAAAACAAACUUCAAAUAUCCCUAGACAAGUUCAUGUCCAAGUGUUUGCAAAUAUAUGCAUAAUCUAGAGGAAGAGGUAGAAUGAAAAGUGAGUGCAGGUGGAGGGGGAAGUUGGGGAGAAAGUAAGGAAAGUAGUAAUAACAGAAAGAGAGAGAGAGGGCGAGAGAGAGAAAGGAGAGAAAGAAGAGGGAGAGAGGGAGAGAAAGAGAGAGAGAGAGAGAGAAAGCAGAUAGAGGAUACUAAAAGAGACACAGGGCAGCAGAGAGGAUCUGUUUUAACUGGCGGGUAGCGGAGAAAUCUUGCUCCGAAGGUGGAAUAAAUUCUAAAUGCAAAGCUUAUUAACUUUCAGAGACCCAAGUUUGCCAGCGGACUAGCUAACGCCAGUUCCUCACUUACCAUCUUGCAGUGGAAGAAAGCGCUGCAGAAACUGAGCCCACUCAAUUUUUCAGUAAAACCAGUGGGAGCUUUAAAUGAGACUGAGGGGAGGAGCUAGGAGAGGCGAGUUCUAAUCUGCGGGAGCUCCCGGUGACGCCCAGAGCUCCCGGCGAGCGCCGCUCUGUGAUUUGGUGAGAGGCUGUCAAACCGGUGACGUGAGCCAGGAGUCACCCAGCAGAAGACAAAGUCACUCGCGCUCUGGGCGGCCACCGCGCCGGGACCAGGGACCUGCCGAUCUGGCCACCGGCCGUGGGGCAGAGGCAGGACCUCCGGCCCUCUCGCUCCGGGUGCGCGGCGCUGCUUCACACCCGGCCCCAGUGUGGACUCGCCGCGGGCGGGGAGACGGGCGGGGAGACGGGCGGGGAGACGGGCGGCGACCCCGCAGCCGGGACCGAGGCGAGGGCCGGGCUCCCUCCCGCUCCACGCGCAGCGCGGGGCAGGGCCGAGCCGGGCCGGGCGAGAAGAUGGUCCAGGUGCCUGGACGUGGGAUUGAAAUUAAAAAGAACAAGCCCAGCAGUAUGUUGCCUGCCCUUCUGGAAACUGAAGAAUAUAAUUAAUAAACUUAGAGAAAAUUAAAGACUCAAGUGACACAGGCUUUGUUGAAUUAGGAUGAGAACUUUAAACGGGAAGUUUGGCACUGAGUAAGCAUCAUUGGGAGACGGCUGAAUACAGGCGAACCUCUGCACUCUGUCAGUAUCAGAAUUUUUGAAAAGGAAACAGAUUGCUUUGUCUUUAUUUGCAAUAAUAUCAUGUUAACCUUCAAGUAAACCUUCUUUAGUAAAAACCUUCUUUAAUAAAAAAUAUUAUUUUUGCCCAAUGAAAACAAUAUGCCUAAUUAUUUUUUUCUGCAUUGUUU